GACUUUGGAAGGUGCGCAGCGUGUUGCAUCCUACGUCUGUUCUGGGGCUGUUCAGGGGCACUCUUUCCUCCAGCGUGGCAGCCAUUUUGUCUAGUUUUUUAAAGUGCUUGGCCAGCCUUGAGCUGAAGACGGGGGAGUUUACCUCUCCGUCAGACUCCUGUGGGCUGUAGUAGUAGCUGCCGUCAUCAUCAACAACAACUUCUCCAUAUUCAUCGUAGAGGCCGGAGGGUGAGAUCAGCUUCCUGCGACUGCCGUACUGAGGAAGUUCAUAACUGGACAGAGAGGAGGAGGGAGAACAAAAACAGACAGCAUUAUAGAAAAGCAAUAACCAAAAAGCAGAAAUAGCUAAUUAUUUCACUGUGAUUCAUUUUGAAGGGUUAUUUUUCUCACAAGCAAUGCAGUAGUCAUUUUUGGUAUGUGUAAUAAUAAUAAAUAAAUUGAAGCUGUGGUAUUAUUGUACAACAGCUUCAGCCAAUCAGAAGUGAAGACAGGAGAGAAAUCUGCUUUACAAACAAAAGUGUUGCACUUGGCUAAUGCUUAUCCACAGCCACUUAGAGCAAUACACAGGGCAUCACUGUGGUUCACUCCAAUGAUAAGCAAUGCUUAAUGACUUGCCUAAGCAAAGCUGCCUUAAUCACAAAAGGAGCACUUUGUUGCCAGGAGACAUUUUGUUAGCAGAAAACAGUGGAAUCGAUUUCCCUCCCUUUUGUCUCCCUUUGUUGCCUGUUGCCGGGAGCGCUGCCUGGCUCCACCGGCCAAAAAACUGUGUUGUGUAUCACCACUUGGGCUCCGUGCCCUGCAGCAAGCAACUCAGAGAGCCACUGGGUCAAAAAACAAAUCUUUUCAAAUGCUAUCCCGGAAACAGUAUGUCCCAGUGUGAUUAAAGUAACAAAUCAGCUGGAAGUCUUUUGGCUUCGUUCCGUAACAGAAUUGUACAGAAAAGUUGCCUCGUGUAAUCACUCUGCUUACAGUCAACUGGUGGGAGAAGUUGCCCUCCUAUUACAUUAAGAAGCCAGGUAAUAAACAAAUGGAAGGGGCAAGUGGAUGACUGAUGUGUUUGGGUGAGAGGUGAGGUAGAGGAGUGUUAGGGAUACAGAGGGGGGAGAAAAAAGAGGCAAGAGAAAGAAGAACAAGUGAAUAAUGGAAGGGUCGAGACAGAAAGACAGACAUAAAUGUUAGUUAUAAUCCUUACAGUACGGCCUCUGCAAGCUAAUGAAAUGAGUCUUAACCUUCCACUAAAACCUGCUUAUGGGAUUUCACAGUCAUUAACCCACAGACUCAAACUGAAGUGCACACACAAUCAAAUUACUUAACGGCUA